CUCAAUCUCAUGGUUCCUGAGUUUGAAUUUAACCUCUUAGCACAUUAUGGUCUCAUCUACCUUAAGGGAAAGAUGGUCUCAUUGGGAGCAGCACCAGUUGCUCUUCCAACACAGGCAAAAUGCCAUCAACCACACUUUUCCAUUCCUCCAUGUGGGAUACGCCAGGAGUGUCUUGGGGAAAACAAAGAAGACAGAGAAAACAAAGAUAUGGAGAAAACAAAGAAGAUGAGACCCGUAUUCUUACAGCUCAGAGUUUCUUGGGGGACACAGGUGUAUGUAAAACUAUGAUACUGAGAGGAAACGUAGCCCAAGUGAGAAACGACCCUGCAAGUGCCCUCACUAGCUCCAUGUUCUAAUGAGCUUAGUUGAACCACCAGAGGAGAAGGUGAGCAUAGUUAUUCUCGGGGCGGAGGUACAAGCUGACCGACAGAACCAAAAAGUAGCUGGAACUUCUGCUAGGCCACCUGAGGUCCAGAAGCAAUUCCAUAUAGCAAAGAGCAUGCUCAGACCCAAGACUCAGGAUACCCAGACUCCAGUUGGGUCUGCUGUGAAUAAGGUAAGCAAUGGCUGGAUGGACAGUUCAUUCAACAGAUUUAUUGAGCACCUGUUAAUAGACGUGGAGAUCCAAAAGAAAUAAGACCCAGACUCCGUCCUCAGGGAUGCUCACAAGUAAACAGGUUAUUUCCAUGAUAAGGAUCCAUAUGUUCCUUCCUCCCAGGUCUGUGACUUCCUUAUUCUAUGCCUAUGUUUCUACAAAUCAGACUUAAAUGAUAGUCAGGAUGCAAAGCCCCAGGCACAAUUCCCUGGGCUAAUUUUUUCUCCUCAGAUGAGAAAAACUGCAGAUGGCCCCAGAACCCCUGCUUCUUCCUGAACACCUUCAACCCACAGGUAUCUUGCCUGCAUAGCCACAUAAAACCUCAUGCUCACUCUGGGUUGGAAAUCAGGGUUUGAACAGAAGCUGGCAGCAAGGGAUGGGUCCUGUAGGCAUGGGUGCACUCAGGAGGACAGAUGCCAGAAAAGGCCUCGAUUCUCCUGAGAACGCUUAUCUCC
rnacentral:lncRNA from 1 species